rnacentral:rRNA from 1 species
AUUGAACGCUGGCGGAAUGCUUUACACAUGCAAGUCGAACGGCAGCACGGACUUCGGUCUGGUGGCGAGUGGCGAACGGGUGAGUAAUGUAUCGGAACGUGCCCAGUCGUGGGGGAUAACGUAGUGAAAAUUACGCUAAUACCGCAUACGAUCUAUGGAUGAAAGCGGGGGAUCGCAAGACCUCGCGCGAUUGGAGCGGCCGAUAUCAGAUUAGGUAGUUGGGGGGGUAAAGGCCUACCAAGCCAACGAUCUGUAGCUGGUCUGAGAGGACGACCAGCCACACUGGAACUGAGACACGGUCCAGACUCCUACGGGAGGCAGCAGUGGGGAAUUUUGGACAAUGGGCGAAAGCCUGAUCCAGCCAUUCCGCGUGCAGGAUGAAGGCCCUCGGGUUGUAAACUGCUUUUGUACGGAACGAAAAGGUUUCUACUAAUACUAGGAGCUCAUGACGGUACUGUAAGAAUAAGCACCGGCUAACUACGUGCCAGCCGCCGCCGUAA